CCUACGGGAGGCAGCAGUGGGGAAUAUUGCACAAUGGGGGGAACCCUGAUGCAGCGACGCCGCGUGGGUGAAGGAGUAUUUCGGUAUGUAAAGCCCUAUCAGCAGGGAAGAACAAUGACGGUACCUGACUAAGAAGCACCGGCUAAAUACGUGCCAGCAGCCGCGGUAAUACGUAGGGGGCAAGCGUUAUCCGGAUUUACUGGGUGUAAAGGGAGCGUAGACGGUUGUGCAAGUCUGAAGUGAAAGCCCGUGGCGCAACCGCAGAACUGCUUUGGAAACUGUAUAGCUUGAGUACUGGAGAGGCAGGCGGAAUGCCUGGUGUAGCGGUGAAAUGCGUAGAUAUUAGGAGGAACACCAGUGGCGAAGGCGGCCUGCUGGACAGAAACUGACGUUGAGGCUCGAAAGCGUGGGGAGCGAACAGGAUUAGAUACCCUUGUAGUC
rnacentral:rRNA from 1 species